rnacentral:rRNA from 1 species
CAAUAGCGUAUAUUAAAGUUGUUGCAGUUAAAAAGCUCGUAGUUGGAUUUGUGGCGUACGGUGUGUUCCGGGCACUUGUUGUCUGAGUAACCUGCUGUUGCCAUCCUUGGGUGGAACCUGUGUGGCAUUAGGUUGUCGUGCAGGGGAUGCCCAUCAUUUACUGUGAAAAAAUUAGAGUGUUCAAAGCAGGCUUAUGCCGUUGAAUAUAUUAGCAUGGAAUAAUGAGAUAGGACUUUUUUGCUAUUUUGUUGGUUUGCGCAAGAAGGUAAUGAUUAAUAGGGGCAGUUGGGGGUAUUCGUAUUCCAUUGUCAGAGGUGAAAUUCUUGGAUUUUUGGAAGACGAACUACUGCGAAAGCAUUUACCAAGGAUGUUUUCAUUAA